GGGUCAUAGAAUCUAGUGACAAGAGAGAUGACUGUACUCUUUCCACACCCGCUGCUACCGACUAAGGCAACGGUUUGUCCUGCUGGAAUGGACAAGGAGAAGCCUUGAAGGAUUAGUUUAUGAGGACGAGACGGAGGGCUUCCUUUGAAUCACUUGGAAAACUUCCUUCCCUGCAGCCUUUGCCUGGUUGAAUAUUUGUAAGUCUGGUGCAGCGUAAGUCAGUGAGCUGCAACCCACCAAAAAAAAAAGGAAAAAAGAGAGGGGUUUUAACACAAGACUUCCUAAACCACCGGAUUCAUGAAAUCGUUGAUUGACUCAAAAACUUAAGUUGAUGGAUGAAUGUAAGUUUAAUAUUAUAUCAUCUAAUAGUUGAUAUUGUUUUCUUUUUACUUACAUUGCUCCAAAGAG